rnacentral:rRNA from 1 species
AAUGGCUCAUUAAAUCAGUUAUCGUUUAUUUGAUAGUACUUUACUACUUGGAUAACCGUGGUAAUUCUAGAGCUAAUACAUGCUGAAAACCCCAACUUCGGAAGGGGUGUAUUUAUUAGAUAAAAAACCAAUGCCUUUCGGGGCUCUUUGGUGAUUCAUGAUAACUUUUCAGAUCGCAUGGCCUUGCGCCGGCGACGGUUCAUUCAAAUUUCUGCCCUAUCAACUUUCGAUGGUAAGGUAUUGGCUUACCAUGGUUUCAACGGGUAACGGGGAAUUAGGGUUCGAUUCCGGAGAGGGAGCCUGAGAAACGGCUACCACAUCCAAGGAAGGCAGCAGGCGCGCAAAUUACCCAAUCCCGACACGGGGAGGUAGUGACAAUAAAUACUGAUACAGGGCUCUUUUGGGUCUUGUAAUUGGAAUGAGUACAAUUUAAACCUCUUAACGAGGAACAAUUGGAGGGCAAGUCUGGUGCCAGCAGCCGCGGUAAUUCCAGCUCCAAUAGCGUAUAUUAAAGUUGUUGCAGUUAAAAAGCUCGUAGUUGAACCUUGGGCCUGGCUGGCAGGUCCGCCUCACCGCGAGUACUUGUCCGGCCGGGCCUUUUUUCUGGAGAACCUCAUGCCCUUCACUGGGUGUGCUGGGGACCAGAACUUUUACUUUGAAAAAAUUAGAGUGUUCAAAGCAGGCCUUUGCUCGAAUACGUUAGCAUGGAAUAAUAGAAUAGGACGUGCGGUCCUAUUUUGUUGGUUUCUAGGACCGCCGUAAUGAUUAAUAGGGACAGUCGGGGGCAUCAGUAUUCAAUUGUCAGAG